CAAUCUGCCCUUCAGAGGGAAACAACCUGCCGAAAGGCGGGCUAAUGUCCCGUAAGACCACGAGAUGGCAUCAUCAGGAGGUCAAAGCUCCGCAAGGGGCGCUGGAGGAGGAGCCCGAAUCCUAUCAUGGUAGUUGGUGAGGUAACGGCUCACCAAGCCUUCGACGGGUAGCCGGCCUGAAAGGGUGAUCGGCCACACUGGCACUGAGACACGGGCCAG
rnacentral:rRNA from 1 species